rnacentral:misc_RNA from 1 species
UUGUUUUGUUUUAUUAUAUGACGUUUCUUACACAGUGUUUGACAGCCACAGAGGGCUAGAGCACAGAGGUUAUGGAUUGGAUAAAGGCCAGAGGCCAAAUCACUAAUGAUCCUUCCGCAGGUUCACCUACGGAAA